GCUUCUGGCUGAGCUGGGAGCCAGCAUGGAAAGGAGAAAACCGCUAAUCCGUCCCCACGCCACAAGUUCCCGAGAGGCCCCGGACUCCGGAUAAGAAAGCCAAGGUUCAGAUAAUUCAGUAAUUUUUCCAAGGUCAUGCAUUAACACAGAAAUCCAGGAUUCAGGUCCAGUGUGAAGAAAAUCAUCAUUGGGACUUUCAACUAUAUCGCUCUACCUAACUGUACUCUUAGCCUGGGCGCCAAAGAAAAAAGUCUUUAGCAUAUGUUUAGUGCCCUGAGAUCUUCAGCUCCAGGCAAUAAUGUGCUGGUAAAUAUGGGGGGAAACAUAUGCAUUAUAU